AGCCCUUAGAUGAAGAGUCCUCCAGUGACAGUGUUCUCUCUUCUGAUGAGCAGCCAUCCUGCAGUGGUCCCAGCCAUGGUGACUACAUCUCACCACAAGGGAGAGGGAGAUGCAAGGGAGACGCUCUCGUCCCAUCCCACCAGUCACCCACCACUAACCUGACCCCACAAGCAGUGGAAAUCCAGCUUCCCAGCAUUCGACCAAGGAACAGCGUAUUUGCAAACUUUGCAAAAGGUGCAGCAGCUGGAUGUGCAAACUUUGUAAUGCACCACAGUGUCUGCAACCAGACAGGGUCUGCUUUAAGCAGUUCCUUAUUGAACUACCAGCUGUGUAGAUAGUAGCGAUAGUACAAAGUUCUGUUGUUAUAAAGUAUUGUUAUAUUAUUGUUUUUAUUUUUGACUGAAUGUUAAACAUGCACUAUUUUCUCAGUGUGUAUAUAGUUAUCUUUUGCAUCUUUUGCACACCCAGAGUCCUAGACUCAAAAAAUGACUUGUGAUUGUUCAGAACAUGUGUAGGCACACAUUUCAAAUGUCAAAUCAAAACAAACUUCAAUAACAAUCAGAAAAUGUAUUCUCAUUAAAGCCUUAAAAAACAAAUUUAA